UACCAGCACCCCGAGUGGUCGGGACGUUUAUUGGGCCUAAAGCAUCCGUAGCCGGUUCUACAAGUCUUCCGUUAAAUCCAACUGCUUAACAGGUGGGCUGCGGAAGAUACUAUAGAGCUAGGAGGCGGGAGAGGCAAGCGGUACUCGAUGGGUAGGGGUAAAAUCCGUUGAUCCAUUGAAGACCACCAGUGGCGAAGGCGGCCAACUGGUCCGGCACUGACGCUGAGGUGCGAAAGCGUGGGGAGCAAACAGG
rnacentral:rRNA from 1 species